rnacentral:rRNA from 1 species
GACGAACGCUGGCGGCGUGCUUAACACAUGCAAGUCGAACGGAAAGGCCCUGCUUGCAGGGUACUCGAGUGGCGAACGGGUGAGUAACACGUGGGUGAUCUGCCCUGCACUUCGGGAUAAGCCUGGGAAACUGGGUCUAAUACCGGAUAGGAGCCAUUCUUAGUGUGAUGGUUGGAAAGUUUUUUCGGUGUAGGAUGAGCUCGCGGCCUAUCAGCUUGUUGGUGGGGUAAUGGCCUACCAAGGCGGCGACGGGUAGCCGGCCUGGGAGGGUGGACGGCCACAUUGGGACUGAGAGUCGGCCCAGACUCCUACGGGAGGCAGCAGUGGGGAAGAUUGCACAAUGGGCGCAAGCCUGAUGCAGCGACGCCGCGUGGGGGAUGACGGCCUUCGGGUUGUAAACUCCUUUCGCUAGGGACGAAGCUUUUUGUGACGGUACCUAGAUAAGAAGCACCGGCUAACUACGUG